ACGCUCGACACCUACGGAAGGCAGCAGUGGGGAAUAUUGCACAAUGGGGGAAACCCUGAUGCAGCGACGCCGCGUGAGUGAAGAAGUAAUUCGUUAUGUAAAGCUCUAUCAGCAGGGAAGAAAGUGACGGUACCUGAGUAAGAAGCCCCGGCUAACUACGUGCCAACAGCCGCGGUAAUCUGAGCGGGCUGGCAAGGC
rnacentral:rRNA from 1 species